GUUUCAGGACAGGUUUCUUCCUCUUCUUGUUGGCGUAAGUUCCAGAGAUAGCCAACAUUUUUGUGCCGCUUGCCACGCAAACUUCGCCUGAAGCUUGUCAGCUCGCCACCGCGGAGACGACCUUUCCUCUUCUCCUUCGGACAAACGGAACAAGAUCCUUCGCUGUGUGCUGAGGCGAAACCAUCAAGGAGACAUGUGUGGUGACAAGGAGGCAUAGAAGGAUCCAGAGGAUCCGCCAUCUUAUACCAUUGGAGUUGUUCAGGAGUCAAAAACACCGAAAAGGCAACACCUGAAACUGGGCUCAUCUCAAAAGGAGAAGAGUCAGGUUAUAGAGAUGAGAUUGCAAAUCCGUCAAAGUGGUGUUCAGCAAACAACCUCAAACUAAAAACCACAAAAAACAAAGGAAAUCAUCCUGGACUUCUAGAAGUGCAGCAUGGACCCGGACCCACUGUUCAUCAAUGGGGAGUGUGUGGAGAGAGACCACUCCUUCAGAUUUCUGGGAAUCUAAAUCACAGAUAAACUCACCUGGACUGUAAAUACCAUGGCGGGAGUGAAAACGGCCCAGCAGCAACUCCACUUCCUGAAAGUGCUCAGGAAGAACAAUCUAAAAGCUAAACUGCUUGUGUCUUUCUGCAGAACGCUCAAGAUCCACAUGUGACUUCAGAGCUAUGGGUUACCUCCCCCUGUAACAG